GCGCUCUUCUCUCUCUCUCAAAUCUCUUGAUCGAGAUUUGAUCAUGACGCACCGCUUUCAUCUUUCAGUUGCGAUUGAGCUGGCAAAUUUUUGAUCAAAUCAGAGGUGUAGCACCUUUCUUAUUCAUUCUGUAUUGGCAAUUGCUUUUUUCCUCUCUGUUCCAAGGCAUUGAAACAAAUCAGCUCUUUCCAUAUGUUCUACAGGGUUGCAAUUGGUGAUGGCUUCCAUUGCUGUUGUUGAGGUCUGGAGUUUUUGGUUUGAUUGAAUGCGUGGAAACAAAGGUAUGGUAUUGAGGUUUAUUUCUUUUCUUAAUUUCUACGAGUUAUGUUUUCAUCGUGGUAAAGAAAAGCAUGCUCUUUUAUGUUAUACUUGGUUGACAUGUUAAAAAAAAAAAUAGAAUUCAAGUGCUCUGUAGCAAUUUCACAUGGAAUUCACAGCCUGUUGUUGUAAUUAAUCAUGUAAGAGUUUAAUAGAAGUCUUUUUGUUCAGAAGUACACACCAAAACAAAUGAAUCUAAUUGAAAGUCCCUUUGUUUCGAUGAAGUCAGGUUAGAUAUUCUCUGCUAAAAAGAUAAUUCCCUUUGUAUUCCUCUGCUCUGGGCUAUGCUUAGAGGUCUUAAGAAUCUUUUUCUGCAAAGAUGGUUGGUAAAGGUGGCUACUGUGGGAUUGGUAUUGUGGGAAGUGGGUAAACAGGGUCUUAUUUAUUAGAAGAACUAGCACAAUACUUGGGAGCUCUUCUUUGUUUAUUAGAUUGGUCCUUUACUUCGAGUAGUUUGGCUGCUAGAGUCUUCAAUAUUUUGUUACCUCUACGAGAAACAAAGGAGAAGAAAGUCUGAAAGGGUUUGAAUAUAGGUCUGAAGAAAAGGAGAGGCUUGAAUAUGCCAAUCCAGGUACUUUUUCAGCUCAUACAUUGCUCACACAUUGCUCUCAUUGCUACUACUUUAUCUAUAGAUUCGUUUGUUUUUUAGAUUUUUAUUUACAAUUCAGAGUGUGAGUUGCAUUCUAUGGUUUAUAAAGUAGAGCAGUGUUCUGUUUUUCAGGUAGAAACUCGAAUUUGUUAUACACAACCAAGCUAGGAGGAAAAGAAUAUGUUUUGAGCUUAUUGAUGGGGCUUAUAUAAUUAGUGUCUUACCUUCUUACAUGAUAUUAUACUUUCUCUAUUCAAUUGGCAGAACGGAAUUUUGCCAGAUCGGAAUUUUACAGGCAUGAGAAGGUAAGUAUAAUAUCUGUAGAUAAUUAUACAGUUGAUUAACAGGUAAAGAAGGUAGAUAACUCGAGGUACUUUCUUUUUCCUCAAUAUUUACUAUUUCCAAAACUUGGUUUUUUCUUAUAGAUGAAUUUGAAGAUGGUUUUUUUAAUCUCUCUGAUUGAUAGUAUCUGAUGUAUUUGCUUUAUGGGGUUUCCUUCUGCCUUUACUUUGGUACCCAGUUACGAUUUUCAUGCCAACUUCACUUUUGUUUUUGGUUUCAACUAAAUUUCUGCUUUAUGUAUUUGAUUUUGCUUUCAGUUUCACGUUGGUUCCAUAAAUGGUGGUCUUUCCCAUAAUUGCAGGUUACUUUAGAUUAAACAGCGUUGUUUCCUUUAUCAUAAUAAUAUUAUGAUAGUUUUGUCCUUUUGUAUUUAUGUGUUCUGUAACUUCAGUUUAGCUAAUGUUAUGGUUUAUGGGAGCUGGCACUCCUGGUAGGAGUAGAAUCAGCAUAUAGAAAGAACAAUUAUUCUGGUAUCAAGUCCUCAGGUGGUUGACUUCUUCUUUUGUUUUACACAGGUCAUAUUUUGCCUCUUUUAAUUUUUUCUACCUUUUCAAUUGGGUUAACAAAUUCUAAACUAUGAGCCUUGAUUCCUAGACCCUAAAUAUUUUAUGUUAUAGACUGCAUCAGGAGAUGUGAUACUUUUCAUUUAUAUGCAGUAGUUUUCAAGUGGAACUGGAGCAGAUAUUUCGGGAUUGUAUGGAAGGUGGCACAAAAUGAAAGGAAUGUGCUCUGAGGCUUUGUUAAAGAAAGUGAGAUUGUACCAGUGAUAACUUUGAAGAUGAAACAACACCAUCAGAUCAGACCAGCACAAAUACAUUGGUUCAGUCUGACACAGAUGACCUUACCUAGCCAAUUCACUCCUGCAAUCUUAUGCUUUUUGUCAUGCUGUGUAACUUUUUGUGAUAAGGACCAUUCUCUAUGUUUUGUAAUGCUAAUGGUCCUUGAAAAACAAUGUCAUGCUGUGUACAUAUAAGCACUGGUUGUCAGGACCAUUCUCUAUGUUUUUUGUAAUGCUAAUAGUCCCUGAAAAGCAAUCAACCAAAACAGCAAACAUUUGUACAUCUACUGAUCAAUGUACAUAAAAACUUUUUGGCUAUUC